GAUGAACGCUAGCGGCGGGCAUAAUACAUGCAAGUCGAACGGGAUAAGUUGUAGCAAUACGACUUUGAGAGUGGCGCACGGGUGCGUAACACGUAUGCAACUUGCCCUUAACAGGGGGAUAGCUUUCGGAAACGAAAAUUAAUACCCCAUAUUAUUACUUAUAUGCAUGUAUGAGUAAUGAAAGCUCCGGCGGUUAAGGAUGGGCAUGCGGCUGAUUAGCUAGUUGGCGAGGUAAAGGCUCACCAAGGCGACGAUCAGUAGGGGGUCUGAGAGGAUGUCCCCCCACACUAGUACUGAGACACGGACCAGACUCCUACGGGAGGCAGCAGUAGGGAAUAUUGGUCAAUGGAGGCAACUCUGAACCAGCCACGCCGCGUGCAGGAUGAAGGCCCUCUGGGUUGUAAACUGCUUUUGUUAGGGAAAAAACCCCUCGAUGCGUUGAGGGUUGAUGGUACCUAAAGAAUAAGGAUCGGCUAACUCCGUGCCAGCAGCCGCAGUAACAC
rnacentral:rRNA from 1 species